UACGGAGGGUGCAAGCGUUGUCCGGACUUAUUGGGUUUAAAGGGUGCGUAGGCGGCUAAUUAAGUCAGCGGUGAAAUUCCAGAGCUCAACUCUGCGAACUGCCAUUGAUACUGGUUAGCUUGAGUACAGAUGAGGUAGGCGGAAUUGACAGUGUAGCGGUGAAAUGCUUAGAUAUUGUCAAGAACACCUAUUGCGAAGGCAGCUUACUAAACUGUAACUGACGCUGAGGCACGAAAGCGUGGGGAUCAAACAGG
rnacentral:rRNA from 1 species